CUCAUAGGGUGGAGUCGGAGACUUUAACUUUAGUCUAUAGACUGAUUUUACAUAUUCCUUAGAACUAAUCUAAUUUUUCAAUAACCCACAUCUCCUUUGUGUAAUUAGUUUUGAGUUUCUUUUAUCAACAAUACCUUCCUAUCUUGAAGAAUAGUUUCUAUGAUACGUCGUUAUCCCUAGAACAUGCCUGGCAUAUUGUUGGAAACCAAGACACACGUGAUAAGUGGGUGAAUAAAUAAAAGUCUUAAACGUUGCUGCCAUCCCUACAUCACAGAAUGAAGACUUUUCUUGCGAGGAUGUGGCCCAACAGCUACCAGUCGUGACUCUCAGAGACAGGAAGUGGAGCAUGAGCCACUUCGGCUGACGAGGCAGGUCGAACGCCUUCUACAGAGUAAUGCUGACAGUCCCUUGGAUUGCACACGUCAGCCUUUCUGCUCUAACCUCUCAUCAUCCUAGCUGAUGUCACAUUUGCACUCGAGACUCCGGACUCACAGCAUUGCAUGUUUCCAGAGAUGCAAGAAAUGAGAAAUUCCAAGCUCCCUGUAUUCCCAGAGCUAAUACUAUGGCUCUGAAAAAAAAGGGUGAACAGUAAUGGCUGUCCUACCUACAUCACGGAAAAUGCGAAGACCGAAAGAGAAACAGGAUGCUGUGCCAGGCUACCACGGCAGCACCUCUGAACCCCUGAAUGGCAGCAGCUCAAUGACAUUACUGUUAGCCACUUCACAAGCUACAUGUUUGGAUUUCAAAAGCAGUGGAAAACCAUACAAUGAUAAUCUAAUGGCUAGGUAAUUCUGUUACUUCUCCCUUUAUCCUGAGGCUAGUUGUUCUGGUGAACAUAUUAGAUUCAAGUCAAUGUCAUUUAGUGUCUUCCAAGGAUAAGGCAGGAUGAUAGGCAUUGAAACUCAAACUACAUUCCCUUGGCUCAAAGCAGCAUUUCCGCCCAACUGCUCAGCUGUGUUUAUACCGGCCCUAGAAAACCUGGGAGUGCGGGGCUGCUGCUGAGAUAAAGGAUUUCUUUUGUUUUCCUCUUUACUCACUUUACGUGACCUGAGAGAAAGAACGUGGGGUCUGCCUUCAGCCAACAAAUGCAUUGCUUUGUUUUGUUAGCAUGAACACUGUGUGUAACAUUCAGCUGUAAUGGUAAAGACCGGAUUCUAGAAUCAGCAGACCUGCUAUCAAACUCUUAACCAUUGAAUUAGUUAACAUCAUCCAAUCAGACUGAUUACAUGUGAAAUUAGGUUAAGAAUAGUACCUUUCUCAUAAGAGUGCUGUGAGGAUUAAAAGGGAUAAUGAAUAUAGAAAACUUAGCAUAGUCGACUCAACUGUUAGUCAUUUAAAAAUAGUAAUAAUUACAUUAUUUUUGAACCAGGUGCUAAAGAGGAUACAGAGAGGGUAAAUUGAGACCUCCUAAUGCCA